rnacentral:rRNA from 1 species
UACGUAGGGACCGAGCGUUGUCCGGAAUCAUUGGGCGUAAAGAGCGUGUAGGCGGCUAUUUAAGUCCUGCGUGAAAUCCUGCGGCUCAACCGCAGACGGUCGUGGGAGACUGGAGGGCUGGAGCAAGGGAGGGGGCAGUGGAAUUCCCGGUGUAGUGGUGGAAUGCGUAGAUAUCGGGAGGAACACCAGUGGCGAAGGCGACUGCCUGGACCUUUGCUGACGCUGAGGCGCGAAAGCGUGGGGAGCGAUCCGG